rnacentral:rRNA from 1 species
UACGAAGGGGGCUAGCGUUGCUCGGAAUCACUGGGCGUAAAGCGCACGUAGGCGGGCUCUUAAGUCGGUGGUGAAAUCCUGGAGCUCAACUCCAGAACUGCCUCCGAUACUGAGGGUCUUCGAGUCCGGGAGAGGUGAGUGGAACUGCGAGUGUAGAGGUGAAAUUCGUAGAUAUUCGCAAGAACACCAGUGGCGAAGGCGGCUCACCGGCCCGGUACUGACGCUGAGGUGCGAAAGCGUGGGGAGCAAACAGG